GUCAGAAAACACGCUCGUGUGAAUACACGGUAAAGAAGCCAAGUGUGCUCUUGUGUGGUCCUGACGGAAAAGUAGUUUCAACAAGAACCCUCCGCUUUUUCAACCUUUGUGUGGUCCUUCUGAUGGCUUCUUACUAGGCUAUGCCGCUCUGAAGCGUUGAGAUGACGAAGGUGGCUGCACCUCUGCUUUCGAAAGAUUCCACACUGUGCUUACUUGGCUUUGUAUCGAGUCUGACAAAUCCGACAGACUUGGACUGCCUUUUUCAAGAAAGUUUGAAAGAGCAUUAUGCACCUGCAAUUCCAAUCUGCAUUAGAAGAAUGACAGACCACUCAACAGCGAUGAACAUUUGAAGGUGAAAGAGCAGGAACGAAGAUGUGUUAAACUGUGUGAGAGGUGCUUGGUAGGUGUCUGAGUGGAGGACAUAGGUCUCAAGCUAAUUCCUGCCUUCAGAAGAGGUGACAACUAUGCUCCUUCUAUCUACUAACCAGCUCCACUUUUUAGGGUUCCCUGUAAACUAAUGGAGCACAUCAUAUACUAGCACAUUGUCAACAUGUUGAGUCUAUCAAUUUCUUUUUUUAAAUUCUAGCAUGGUUUUAGAAAAUAGUUUUCAUGCAAAACUAACGUAGUGGAAUUCGUUCACAGCAUUUUAAACUGUCUUGAUUUCUGGGUCCACGUAGAUGCAGUAUUUUUUAUUUUGUAAGGGCUUUUGACACGGUGCUUUAUGCUCGCGUGUUGGCCAAACUAGCCUAAUUAAAAUUUGAUCCUGCUACCAUUAACUGGAUAUGCAGUUUCUCAACUAACCACAGCCGUGGCAACAACUUGUGAGGAGAACCUAUCACAUCGCCACCGUGCAGCAAUGUUAUGUUAUGUUACAAUUGCUUCACAUUUUAAUCUAGUCAAAAGCAAGACCUUUUGGUGAUCGGUCUUGUAUGAUUACAUGCCCCUCUGUUACCUAUUGCCACACUGGGUUGUUCAACUUAUGAGAGAGAAAUAAAUAUGU